GAGGGAAUCAAACUUUUCCCAGUUUUGAGGGAUGCUUCUGAGGGGCAUAUCCUAUGGUGUGGAGACACGAUUAUCCAUUUACAAAGAGAGAAGAGAGGAAAAAAGCCACCAUGUGAAGAAGGACAUGUUUGUUUCCCCUGGGGCCUCUCCAUCCUUGCUGAACUAGAUACAAGCCUCCUGGGUGAUGAGAAAGACAGAGAAGCAUUUUUCAUAGAGAGUUGCCAGGAUUGCUCAGCAUCCAGAUCAACCAUGAAAGGCACCAGGAGAAUGAACAUCUGCAUUUUUCUUGUCCAUGAUUCUUCUACAUAAUGCUACUGAAGCGAAGAUAAUCUUUAAUUGUAGAAACAAGAAGAGAAGCAAAUAUAUUACUAGUAUCCAGAAGCUCCUUCACAGUUUUCAGAUAAUGCUAAUGAGCUAGUUCCUGGUUUGUAUCACAAACUUCUCCCAAAUUCUUCCCCUAAACAUUCCUUCAUGGUGGAGCUAAUUAGACUAUUGCAGCUCCACCGUUCAUUACUGCUUGUAUUUUGUAAAAAUUAGUGCAUAUGUCAUGGGCCUAGGGAUACAUCCAUUGCAGGGAAAUG
ensembl:lncRNA novel transcript